rnacentral:rRNA from 1 species
CCUACGGGAGGCAGCAGUGAGGAAUAUUGGUCAAUGGGCGCGAGCCUGAACCAGCCAAGUAGCGUGAAGGAUGACUGCCCUAUGGGUUGUAAACCUCUUUUAUAAAGGAAUAAAGUGAGGCACGUGUGCCUCUUUGCAUGUACUUUAUGAAUAAGGAUCGGCUAACUCCGUGCCAGCAGCCGCGGUAAUACGGAGGAUCCGAGCGUUAUCCGGAUUUAUUGGGUUUAAAGGGAGCGUAGAUGGGUUGUUAAGUCAGCUGUGAAAGUUUGCGGCUCAACCGUAAAAUUGCAAUUGAAACUGGCAGUCUUGAGUACGGUUGAGGUAGGCGGAAUGCGUGGUGUAGCGGUGAAAUGCUUAGAUAUCACGCAGAACUCCGAUUGCGAAGGCAGCUUACUAAGCUGCCACUGACAUUGAUGCUCGAAAGUGUGGGUAUCGAACAGGAUUAGAUACCCUAGUAGUC